rnacentral:sRNA from 1 species
UAUCUUCAAAACACUGUAAUUCGUCCC